rnacentral:rRNA from 1 species
GACGAACGCUGGCGGCGUGCUUAACACAUGCAAGUCGAACGGAAAGGCCCUGCUUUUGUGGGGUGCUCGAGUGGCGAACGGGUGAGUAACACGUGAGUAACCUGCCCUUGACUUUGGGAUAACUUCAGGAAACUGGGGCUAAUACCGGAUAGGAGCUCCUGCUGCAUGGUGGGGGUUGGAAAGUUUCGGCGGUUGGGUAUGGACUCGCGGCUUAUCAGCUUGUUGGUGGGGUAGUGGCUUACCAAGGCUUUGACGGGUAGCCGGCCUGAGAGGGUGACCGGCCACAUUGGGACUGAGAAACGGACCAGAAUCGAAAGGGAGGAAGCAGGGGGGAAUAUUGAACAAUGGGCGGAAGCAUGAUGAAGAAACGCCGCGUGCGGGAUGACGGCCUUCGGGUUGUAAACAGAUUUCGCCUGUGAAGAAGAGUGAGUGACGGUAAUGGGUAAAGAAGCACCGGCUAACUACGUG